CAACCAGUUUGGCGGGAGGUUGGAAUCCCCAAGAGGAAGGCUCUGCCCAAGAAGUCCCUAUGGCUCUGCAGAAUCCUACGUUCUAGGUCUCUGGUCAACAAAAUACUAGCACAAAUACGAAAGGAUAUGCCCAAGAGCAUGUUCAUCACAAGAUUGCUUGUCUGGGUAAAAAUAGAAAGCAAACCACAAAACACGCCCAGCAUGCUGCCGAAGGAAUCUAGACCCAACUGGAACAUGGUCCAUGGUACAUUAUUGUGGGAAAAAGCAAGCUGCAGAAUUGAAGACACAAAUAAACAAGAAAUUGAAAAGGGUCAAAUGGAACAAGCAGAGGAAGUUGAGAUCAGUAUGACACAUCCCUACAGCAGGACGAUGCUCCAGAUAGGGUCCAAAUCAGGGGGACGAGGGCUGCACAUACACAGAGGAAAGACGACGCAUGUGAGGACACAGAGAAGGAGGAC